rnacentral:rRNA from 1 species
CUGGAGGUAUCAGAAGUGCGAAUGCUGACAUAAGUAACGAUAAAGCGGGUGAAAAGCCCGCUCGCCGGAAGACCAAGGGUUCCUGUCCAACGUUAAUCGGGGCAGGGUGAGUCGACCCCUAAGGCGAGGCCGAAAGGCGUAGUCGAUGGGAAACGGGUUAAUAUUCCCGUACUUGGUGUUACUGCGAAGGGGGGACGGAGAAGGCUAUGUUGGCCGGGCGACGGUUGUCCCGGUUUAAGCGUGUAGGUGUGUGUUCCAGGUAAAUCCGGUUCACUUUAACACUGAGGCGUGACGACGAGGCACUACGGUGCUGAAGCAACAAAUGCCCUGCUUCCAGGAAAAGCCUCUAAGCAUCAGGUAACAUCAAAUCGUAC